rnacentral:lncRNA from 1 species
AUGAUGAGCUCUUGUAUGACAAGUUUGAAUUCCUACCAAAGCCAUAUAUAAUAUACAUUUAGAGUUAGGAAAAUUUUUGACAUUUAUGCUGCUCGCUUUGCAUUGAGUUCAGUCAACCUUUCUAGUAUACCUUACGAGAGUCUUGUCAUGCUUUUAAAACCAAGAUCACGUAUACACUUCAGUUCACAUAUGCAUUAUUCCCACACAAGGAGUAAUCACAAUCAUUUCCAUUCUAUGUUCACCAAUCAAACACCAACAUAAACCA